GCUCAGAAUCCCAGAAUUCAGGGAGCUGGGGUAGAAGGCACUUUGUGGGUUAGAAGCCAGCCUAGACUACAGAGUAAGACCCUGUCUCCAAAAAUCCAAGUAAGGGUGCUUGAGAAUGUGUACAUGUAUGUGUUUGUUUUUACAUUGGCUAAUGUUCUUUAAUUGAUCAGUUUAAGCUGAGGAUAUGGUUGAGGGGCAGAGUCCUAGCUCACCAUGUGACCUAGGGGCACAGUCCUGGCUUAGAAUAUGCAAACUCUUGGUUUGAGCUCCAGCAUCAUAGAUACAUGCUAACAUACUUGGUACAGAACUGCUCUUCAGAAUUUUCUUAUCUCUAUUUCUGUCAUUGUGAUACCUUCCCAGGCUAUUUAUUUCUUGAGUUGCCUUUCCAGUUGUGUUUACUUAGAAUUACAGACCAUGUAUUAACCGCAGUCCAUAGCCCUCACGAUCCUGUCGAUUUCCUAACCCCACCCCAGCUUCACUCAAAGCUUUACCAUAGGAGCAUUUGGGGAAUACAUUGGAUUCACAUUCUAACCGAUUAAGACCAAUACACACAAUCCUAAAAUCCAGCCAUGACCAGAUUGAACAGUAGUUAACUCGAAGCACCUACAAUGGAGGUCCUGAAGUCUGUAUCCAUGACAGUCAGGGAUACUGGUACAGAAAGACCAACCUUGGGAGAAAGCAAGAUAAACUUUGCUUGCUGAGGAAACCCAGGCAAUGCAACAGGGAAGCAGCAACCUUAAACUCGAACUGCACGCCAAGCAUGAUACAGCAUAGAUGGCCUUUUCAAGACAGAAGAAAUAACUGCCCAGGCCAUGGAGAAGAAAAAGUGUGAAAACAACACAGAGCUCGCUUCCCAAUUUGUUAACGAUUCGAAGCAGUGAUGGAGCUGUUCCUACAAAACACAAAUAGAAGCCACCUCCCUCCUGGGGCUCUCUACGGAGCUCCAACAUGCCAUACAUCACUGAUUCAGACCUUCCUUCAUUCAACACUCAACUUGUGUCCAGCGUCCUGAUAGGAAACUGCAGAUACCAUGACAGGCUCUCCCUUGUACCGCAAUUUCCUCACAAUAUGUGGUGAUAGAGAGAUGAAGUGAUGGGUAAUCAAGAGGCACCUGUAGCUCCAGAGAGCCUGCCAAUGAGUCAGAAGACUUCCCAUCAAAGAAGUUGUCUUUCAAAGUUAGUACAGCAGAUGGAAAUGCCAACAGCAUUGUGUGCAAAGCCCUAAAGUUAGCCCCAUGAUGAACCUACUGCUGGCUACGAAGGAACUUACAUAACCAUCAAAUCAUCAUCAUCAUCAUCAUUAUCAGCAUCAUCAUCAUCAUCAUCAUCACACCACCACCACCACCAUCAUCAUCAUAUUUAUUAUUGUUAUUGUUGCUGUAUUCUUUUUUUUUCUUUUCUUUUUUUUUCUGGUGCUGGGGACCGAACCCAGGGCCUUGCGCUUGCUAGGCAAGUGCUCUACCACUGAGCUAAAUCCCCAACCCCUGUUGCUGUAUUCUAAAAUACAACUGAGUGGUUCUUUUGUCUUUUGAAUUGCAGACAUGGCUUUGUCAGAG
ensembl:lncRNA